rnacentral:misc_RNA from 1 species
UAUUCACAAAGAUGGUGAGUGGCUAAGUUUUAUCUCUAAGUUACAUAUAUACAUCUGAUGUUUUCUCCAAGUUCCUAAAUUGCACAGCAAGCGACUUGAAAACUGCCUAUAUCCUAUAUUUGAACUUUUUCCCAUUCAUAAGAGCUUAUUAUAAGUUCUAUGAGCAGAGUUAUGUUUAGCAAAUAUGGAUGAUAAUCUGAAAUAUGUGGUUACCAGAAACGGGGAAUGGAUAGUGGAAAUGAUGUAAUCUUAAAAGGAGAAAAAAAAAAGAAAGAGAAAAUUUUAAUGCAAAAGUAAAAAUUAUGGAAAAUUUGAAUGUGAUACUUCUGUAAAUAGUCUUGUAGGAAAUCAUAUGGUAAAUUUUAAGAAAGGCUAGAUGAAUAUUUUAGCAUUUAAUGAUAAGGUUGUAGAAAG